UGACAGUUUGUCCGAGUGGUUAAGGAGGUUGACUCGAAAUCAACUGGGCUUUGCCCGCACAGGUUCAAAUCCUGUAGCUGUCGU
rnacentral:tRNA from 1 species